UGAGGUUGAAAAUCAGCUGUUCCACUUAGCGCUCCCCCUAGAGGCCUGGAGAACUUCCGCUGUCUAAACUGGAUGCAGCAGGGUUUUUAUUGUUGCAUUUGUUUUCAGGGAUUGUGUGCUUUUGUU